CCUACGGGGCGCAGCAGUGAGGAAUAUUGGUCAAUGGGCGAGAGCCUGAACCAGCCAAGUCGCGUGAGGGAUGACUGCCCUAUGGGUUGUAAACCUCUUUUGUAUGGGGGGAAUAAGCUUUACGAGUAGAGUGAUGACAGUACCAUACGAAUAAGCAUCGGCUAACUCCGUGCCAGCAGCCGCGGUAAUACGGAGGAUGCGAGCGUUAUCCGGAUUUAUUGGGUUUAAAGGGUGCGUAGGCGGUUUUAUAAGUUAGAGGUGAAAAUUCGGGGCUCAACUCCGGACGUGCCUCUAAUACUGUAUGA
rnacentral:rRNA from 1 species